rnacentral:lncRNA from 1 species
CUCUCUUUAUCGAAAACAGAGGAUCUCUGCUGUAACGUGACACUUUCUAAGGCUCCCAUAGGCUCUCAGAAGGCGCCAGAACGUUGAAUGAUGACUUUGCAGCCCCUGCCUGAAAAACAGUAGCACAUUUGGAUAGUGGUCGAUCUGAGAACAAUGAGACGGGUGCGCGCGUGCACGUGAAGAGGCCAUUUUACAUUUUCAGUCUUUGAACGAAAAAGACGUUCAAAGACGAGAAAAAUCGCAUAAAAAUAGAUUUUAAACAGCGUUUGACAUGCUUCGAAGUACGGUAAUGGAAUAUUUUGAAAUGUUUUGUCACGAUACGCGUCCGCGCGUCACCGUUCGGAUAGUGUCUUGAACGCAAGAACAAAACAGAGGAUAUUUGAACAUAACUAUGGAUUAUUUUGAACCAAAACAACAUUUGUGGAUGAAGUAGAAGUCCUGGGAGUGCAUUCUGACGAAGAACAGCAAAGGAUGCAGAAGAAAAAGAUACAAUGGGAUGUUUCACCCAACUAGAGCAAAAGCUAAGUGCAGAUCUCUUUACCAGCCACUGGGUGUUAAAAGGGCUAUUGCUAAACAAGACCUGCACACGUCCUUUCCCCUAACCACAAUGAAAUAUUCCUAACAGUACAUGCUGUACUUUAUCAGCUGUUCAGCACUGUGCUGUAAUUAGCUCAUUAAAUCUUCAGGGGCACUCCAAUAGUAGCACACUAAGCCAUACCUCUGGGCUAAAGGGUGUCACUGUGUCGCAGAGAGCUGAGCUGAGCACCGGUGCUUGGCUGCCCUGGAUGCCGGCAGCCCUGCGAUCUAUCAGCCCACCGUUUCCAGUGUUCAGUACCGUGGCAGAGGCAGACACACUGCCCUGAGUGGAAGAAUGAGGACAAAUAACCCUGCUGUACAUAGACUUUCAUCACCAAACAGUGGCAUGCUGCACAGAGUCAGAAAAAGUCAGUACUCCCUGUUCACCCAUGACUGCGUGGCCAUGCACACCUCCAACUCAAUCAUCAAGUUUGCAGACGACACAGAAGUAGUAGGCUUGAUUACCAACAACGACAAGACAG